rnacentral:rRNA from 1 species
UACGUAGGGCGCAAGCGUUGUCCGGAAUUAUUGGGCGUAAAGAGCUCGUAGGUGGCUUGUCGCGUCUGCCGUGAAAGCCCGUGGCUUAACUACGGGUCUGCGGUGGAUACGGGCAGGCUAGAGGCUGGUAGGGGCAAGCGGAAUUCCUGGUGUAGCGGUGAAAUGCGCAGAUAUCAAGAGGAACACCUGCGGCGAAGGCGGGUUGCUGGGCCGACACUGACGCUGAUGCGCGAAAGCUAGGGGAGCGAACGGG